GAUGAACGCUGGCGGCGUGCCUAAUACAUGCAAGUCGAGCGAACAGACGAGGAGCUUGCUCCUCUGACGUUAGCGGCGGACGGGUGAGUAACACGUGGAUAACCUACCUAUAAGACUGGGAUAACUUCGGGAAACCGGAGCUAAUACCGGAUAAUAUAUUGAACCGCAUGGUUCAAUAGUGAAAGACGGUUUUGCUGUCACUUAUAGAUGGAUCCGCGCCGCAUUAGCUAGUUGGUAAGGUAACGGCUUACCAAGGCAACGAUGCGUAGCCGACCUGAGAGGGUGAUCGGCCACACUGGAACUGAGACACGGUCCAGACUCCUACGGGAGGCAGCAGUAGGAAAUCUUCCGCAAUGGGCGAAAGCUUGACGGAGCAACGCCGCGUGAGUGAUGAAGGUCUUCGGAUCGUAAAACUCUGCUAUUAGGGAAGAACAAAUGUGUAAGUAACUAUGCACGUCUUGACGGUACCUAAUCAGAAAGCCACGGCUAACUACGUG
rnacentral:rRNA from 1 species